rnacentral:lncRNA from 1 species
AGCGGCCGGGUGCAGCCUGUGCUGGUGGGCGCGGUGGCCCGAAGCCUUGGACUCACUGCAGGACUGUGCAGGGAACCACUGUCCAAGCAUCGGGCUAAUAGGGGGCGCCUGCCUCGGUUUACCCUUCAGCGUCUGGUGAAAUCCCGCAGCGUCUAGGGAAAGAUCCGUUCUGCUCCGCGAGGGAAACAGAGCCGUUGACCAUGGUUGCAACGGGCAGUUUGAGCAGUAAGAACACGGCCAGCAUUUCAGAGUUGCUGGACGGUGGCUCUCACCCUGGGAGUCUGCUAAGUGGUGAGUCACCGGGCUGUCCACCUCUUUCCUAUCCGAAGGUUGCAGCCCCUCUCUAGUGUAAGCGUCCCUGCUGGAGAGCGCGAGACUUCAUUUCCUCCUAGAGACAGAGAGGACUAUGAAACCCAUCUGAGAUGUCUUUCUAAACUCCUUAGCAUUGUCUGCCCACCAGAAACAAACGUAAGGAGAAUAAUGCAUUG